AGCAGCCGCGGUAAUUCCAGCUCCAAUAGCGUAUAUUAAAGUUGUUGCAGUUAAAAAGCUCGUAGUUGAAUUUCGGGAUCAAUGCGUCGGUCGUGCCUUCGGUACGUACUAGCGUCAUUGAUUCCUCCCUUCUGAAGAACCGUGAUGUCAUUAAUUUGGUGUUACGGGGAAUCAGGACUGUUACCUUGAAAAAUUAGAGUGUUUAAAGCAGGCUAACGCUUGAAUACAUUAGCAUGGAAUAAUGAAAUAGGACGUUCGAACCUAUUUUGUUGGUUUCUAGGAUCGACGUAAUGAUUAAUAGGGAUAGUUGGGGGCAUUAGUAUUCAAUUGUCAGAGGUGAAAUUCUUGGAUUUAUUGAAGACUGACUACUGCGAAAGCAUUUGCCAAGGAUGUUUUCAUUAAUCAAGAACGAAAGUUAGGGGAUCGAAGACGAUCAGAUACCGUCGUAGUCUUAACCAUAAACUAUGCCGACUAGGGAUCGGAUGAUGUUAAUUUUAUAAUUGACUCAUUCGGCGUA
rnacentral:rRNA from 1 species